rnacentral:piRNA from 1 species
UGCAUUCCCUUGAUCUUCAGAAAUAUC